rnacentral:tRNA from 1 species
AAAUUUAUAUUUUUUAUUCCAAAUAUUUGCACCACGAUGGCUUGUUUAAAACUAUAGAAAACCUUCUGCUGAUA